AUUGAACGCUGGCGGCAUGCUUUACACAUGCAAGUCGAACGGUAACAGGGUGCUUGCACCGCUGACGAGUGGCGAACGGGUGAGUAAUGCGUCGGAACGUGCCGAGUAGUGGGGGAUAACGCAGCGAAAGUUGUGCUAAUACCGCAUACGUACUGAGGUAGAAAGUGGGGGAUCUUCGGACCUCACGCUAUUAGAUGAGCCUAGGUCGGAUUAGCUAGUUGGUGAGGUAAUGGCUCACCAAGGCGACGAUCCGUAACUGGUCUGAGAGGAUGAUCAGUCACACUGGAACUGAGACACGGUCCAGACUCCUACGGGAGGCAGCAGUGGGGAAUAUUGGACAAUGGGCGAAAGCCUGAUCCAGUCAUGCCGCGUGUGUGAAGAAGGUCUUCGGAUUGUAAAGCACUUUAAGUUGGGAGGAAGGGUACUUACCUAAUACGUGAGUAUUUUGACGUUACCGACAGAAUAAGCACCGGCUAACUCUGUGCCAGCCGCUGCCGUAACAC
rnacentral:rRNA from 1 species